GGCGGUGGCUCGUGGCAAUGGUCGAUAGCAGCAAGUGUGCCAACAGUGAUAAGUGUUCUGUGAGAUAAAAAUGGAAGAGUUCAACAAAAAAAUUAGAGGAAGAGAAAGAUCUAAUAGUUGGACAGUGGUGACCGAAUUGUCCCAGUCAGCCGGUGGUAGCCAGUGGCCAAUGGAAACAAAGAAAAAUAAGGUGGAAAAAUUAGGAAUGGGUGACCAUAGAAACGAGGGAGCUACGUGCUCAGGAUUUUCAGACGAUUUUCUGAGGAAAUCAAGGCCAAUGGUCGCUAUUUGGAUGGACGGAUAAGUCGAAGAAGGUAAUGUCACUUGUUCCUGGAUCUAGCGAGGCCUCGAAGAGAGCGGUGGUGAAGAGUGGAAGAGAAAAGAAGAGUGAGUUCCAGUGGCAGUGUUUAGUAAUCAUGCUGCUUGAAGGGGAGA
rnacentral:lncRNA from 1 species